CCCUUUGCUAAAAACACCGCUGUCAAAAAAGUCGGCAGUUAUGGACCUGAAAUGCACUAUUGUUUCUCAACCGGAAGUCCCUCCUCCAACCGGACCACUGGAUUACAGCUGGGCUAGAGGACCGCAAAGUUGCGCCUCAGGGCCUCGAGUUGACUUCAUCCUGCACUGAAAGAUCACAAGCUGACAAAUUUGUUUUCUUUACCGACCGCCGGUCCUCGUAGCAAAUAGCUGACCAUGAUAAGAUUGCAUCAGCAGAGCAUCGGUCGAUCACUCUCCAUGAACCUGCAAUUGCUCCAGUACAAAUCGCCUGAUAUAUAUCUGACGUUUUUUCCAGGAUAUUUGAAAUUUUAUUUGUUCAGAAAUAGAAGAGUUAUGCAGCUAAUCUAAUUUAAUAGCGCAGCCGUUGACAAUACGUCCACAAUAGAUAGAACCUUUUUUGUGCCCUAUAA